rnacentral:rRNA from 1 species
CCGAAGGAUUAAGAGCUUGCUCUUAUGAAGUUAGCGGCGGACGGGUGAGUAACACGUGGGUAACCUGCCCAUAAGACUGGGAUAACUCCGGGAAACCGGGGCUAAUACCGGAUAACAUUUUGAACCGCAUGGUUCGAAAUUGAAAGGCGGCUUCGGCUGUCACUUAUGGAUGGACCCGCGUCGCAUUAGCUAGUUGGUGAGGUAACGGCUCACCAAGGCAACGAUGCGUAGCCGACCUGAGAGGGUGAUCGGCCACACUGGGACUGAGACACGGCCCAGACUCCUACGGGAGGCAGCAGUAGGGAAUCUUCCGCAAUGGACGAAAGUCUGACGGAGCAACGCCGCGUGAGUGAUGAAGGCUUUCGGGUCGUAAAACUCUGUUGUUAGGGAAGAACAAGUGCUAGUUGAAUAAGCUGGCACCUUGACGGUACCUAACCAGAAAGCCACGGCUAACUACGUGCCAGCAGCCGCGGUAAUACGUAGGUGGCAAGCGUUAUCCGGAAUUAUUGGGCGUAAAGCGCGCGCAGGUGGUUUCUUAAGUCUGAUGUGAAAGCCCACGCUCACCGUGGAGGGUCAUGGAACUGGGAGACUUGAUGCAGAAGAGAAAUGGAAUUCCUGUGUACGUGAAUGC